rnacentral:rRNA from 1 species
AUUGAACGCUGGCGGCAUGCCUUACACGUGCAAGUCGAACGGUAACAGGUCUUCGGAUGCUGACGAGUGGCGAACGGGUGAGUAAUACAUCGGAACGUGCCUAGUAGUGGGGGAUAACUACUCGAAAGAGUGGCUAAUACCGCAUGAGAUCUACGGAUGAAAGCAGGGGAUCGCAAGACCUUGUGCUACUAGAGCGGCCGAUGGCAGAUUAGGUAGUUGGUGGGAUAAAAGCUUACCAAGCCGACGAUCUGUAGCUGAUCUGAGAGGACGAUCAGCCACACUGGGACUGAGACACGGCCCAGACUCCUACGGGAGGCAGCAGUGGGGAAUUUUGGACAAUGGGCGAAAGCCUGAUCCAGCAAUGCCGCGUGCAGGAUGAAGGCCUUCGGGUUGUAAACUGCUUUUGUACGGAACGAAAAGCCCCGGGUUAAUACCCUGGGGUCAUGACGGUACCGUAAGAAUAAGCACCGGCUAACUACGUGCCAGCCGCCGCAGUAA